UGGCGGACGGGUGAGUAACGCGUGGGUAACCUGCCUCAUACAGGGGGAUAACAGUUAGAAAUGACUGCUAAUACCGCAUAAGCGCACGAGAUCGCAUGAUAAGGUGUGAAAAACUCCGGUGGUAUGAGAUGGACCCGCGUCUGAUUAGCUGGUUGGUGGGGUAACGGCCCACCAAGGCGACGAUCAGUAGCCGACCUGAGAGGGUGACCGGCCACAUUGGGACUGAGACACGGCCCAAACUCCUACGGAAGGCAGCAG
rnacentral:rRNA from 1 species